rfam:Glossina morsitans morsitans, isolate Yale, WGS project CCAG01000000 data, contig: ctg10020623
UGAGUUUUGGAGUUCGUAUCAGGGGUGACAUUUGCACUGGGUUUUCAAUAGUAGUUUGUAAAUGCACUAUCUGGUACGACACGCCAUAACGA